AUAAAGAAAAGAGAGGGAGAGUGGAGAUGAGAUUGAAAGGGAUGAGUAACAAAAGUGAAACACACAAAUUAAAAACUGAAAUAUAUUUGAAAUUGUUUCCCCUCUCAUAUUUUCUCUCAAUCUCAUCCUCACUCCCAUUUUCCUUUAUACU
rnacentral:miRNA from 1 species